rnacentral:tmRNA from 1 species
AACGUUAAAUUCGCUCCUGCUUACGCUAAAGCUGCGUAAGUUCAGUUGAGCCUGAAAUUUAAGUCAUACUAUCUAGCUUAAUUUUCGGUCAUUUUUGAUAGUGUAGAUUGAAAAUUGACAACUUUUAAUCGAAGUUAAAGUCUUAGUCUAGCUUGAAAUUUUGGAAGGUGAGUUUAGCUAGAUGAAGUUUUCACCUUUGCUAAACAUGUAGAAGUCUUUGUGGGGUUAUUUUUGGACAGGGGUUCAAUUCCCCUCGCUUCCACCA